GAUGAACGCUGGCGGCGUGCCUAAUACAUGCAAGUCGAGCGAAUGGAUUGAGAGCUUGCUCUUAUGAAGUUAGCGGCGGACGGGUGAGCAACACGUGGGUAACCUGCCCAUAAGACUGGGAUAACUCCGGGAAACCGGGGCUAAUACCGGAUAACAUUUUGAACCGCAUGGUUCGAAAUUGAAAGGCGGCUUCGGCUGUCACUUAUGGAUAGACCCGCGUCGCAUUAGCUAGUUGGUGAGGUAACGGCUCACCAAGGCAACGAUGCGUAGCCGACCUGAGAGGGUGAUCGGCCACACUGGGACUGAGACACGGCCCAGACUCCUACGGGAGGCAGCAGUAGGGAAUCUUCCGCAAUGGACGAAAGUCUGACGAAGCAACGCCGCGUGAGUGAUGAAGGCUUUCGGGUCGUAAAACUCUGUUGUUAGGGAAGAACAAGUGCCAGUUGAAUAAGCUGGCACCUUGACGGUACCUAACCAGAAAGCCACGGCUAACUACGUGCCAGCAGCCGCCGUAA
rnacentral:rRNA from 1 species